rnacentral:tRNA from 1 species
GAGGGUAUAGCUUAAGUGGUAGAGUGCAUGCUUAGCAUGCAUUAGGUCCUAGGUUCAUUCCCCAGUACCUCCU